CCUAAUACCAUCACAUUGUAGGUUAUGAAUUUGGGGGGGAUACAGACAUUCAGUCCAUAACUGAUGCCUUCCUAUAAUUCUUUUAGAAUGACUUGGACUCUUUCCCAGUCCACUUGGGUCAGGUUUCUUGUCCAGCCUGGAAGCAGAGCAGUAGCCUGUAUGGCCUUCCCUUUGACCUGGGACUCUGGUGACUUGUAGAACUCAUAUUUAUAGUUAUAGUUACAGUCUAAUGCUUUCUACAGACUGCUGCUUUGAGAAGUUCAACCUCUUAAAUACAGUUGCAUUAAAGAAUUCUAUCGAAAAGAAUUUGCUGAAUUGUGAUUAUAAACGAAAGAGCUUUGUGGGGAUAAAAUGUAUUCCAACAAGAGAGCCCUAUGUUUGUUUUCCAGCCUCUUCUCCUAGUGCUUCACUUCUAAUCCCUUUACAUAAUGAAACAUUUCAACAGAGAACCAAGUAAAAAUUAUGACAUAUUAUCUUCUCAAAGUCUUGAACCCCCAUCCCUACCAUAGAAGAGACUCCUCUUUUCACAGAAGCUAAAGCCAGUCCCAAAGGCCAGUUCCUCCCCAAGAGCAAUUCUAUUUGGAUGUUGAAUCUACUCCUUCCCAAGCAUGGUGAUCUACAAAUACAAAUUCCAUCAUCUCUACAAAGAGAAAAUUCUGACAAAUGGCAGAAUAAUUUUAAAGUUAUAGGACUACCAUAGCAUCCACAGGAACCUUGAGUAAGCACGAUGAACCCUGACCCUCAGGGUGAAUUUGUAAGCCCUUGGCAGUGAGAUGAGAUGUCUUCCUUCAGCUUGAAACAAAGUAAACCUAUCACAUCAUGGGAGCUGCCUGGGGUCUCCCACAGUCUCAGAGACAGAGGAAGAAAUGUGCCCACACUGCUCCAAUACCAACAAAAGCUGAGAUAAUUAUAGCCAAUAGACAUGCACUACAAGAAAUGCUAAAGGAAAUUAUUCAGACCAAAGGAAAAUGAUACCAAAUGAAAAUUUGAAUCAAACGAAGAUUUGAGGGCUGGAACUUGUAAAUAUGUGAGUAUAUAUAAAGGU